CUAGUAUACGCACCUCUCUAUAAAUUUUUGCAUGUAACAAUGAACUAAUGCAACACUAAGCUAAGUUCAUAACAAAUAAUUUUAGCUUAUUCUUUCUUUUGAUCAAACAAUGACUUAUGUUAAACUUGUUACUUUGGCUGUCUUCAUGCUCACCAUAUUUUUAAUCAUUCAGACGAAGAACGUUGAAGCAGCUGGGCAAUGUCCAUCCGUCGGUAGCAUGAUAGAUAUGUCUCAAAAACUAAAAACCAACCAUGCAUGUUAUCCUCCUUAAAAAAAACAAAAAAAAACCAUGCAUUUUAUCAUGCAUCUACUUUAAAUAAAACAACUUUUGUUUUCAAUUGAUCAAUUGUAUUUCUUCGAUAUCCGUCUGGAUUUUAAUAGAUGAUGCACGCUAUAAUUUGAA